rnacentral:rRNA from 1 species
UACGUAGGGUGCAAGCGUUGUCCGGAAUUAUUGGGCGUAAAGAGCUCGUAGGCGGUCCGUCACGUCGGCUGUGAAAACCCGGGGCUCAACUCCGGGCCUGCAGUCGAUACGGGCGGACUAGAGUACUGCAGGGGAGACUGGAAUUCCUGGUGUAGCGGUGAAAUGCGCAGAUAUCAGGAGGAACACCGGUGGCGAAGGCGACUACCUGGCCUGUUCUUGACGCUGAGGCGCGAAAGCUAGGGGAGCAAACGGG